rnacentral:rRNA from 1 species
GUGGAGCGUUAGGAAGUGAGAAUGCUGGAAUGAGUAACAACAAGGCAGGUGAGAAUCCUGCCCACCGAAAGAGCAAGGUUUCCUGGGCCACGGUAAUCGUCCCAGGGUUAGUCGGUCCUAAGCCGAGGCAAGUAGCGUAGGCGAUGGACAACAGGUUAAUAUUCCUGUACUGGCUAUAGAUUGUUUAUUGUGCGCGGUAUGAUAGCAAGAGCGGAUUCAUGGUUAUAUCCGUCUAACACAUCUAACGGGUGUGGAAUGAAAGAUUGUCUUCGGAUAAUCGAUUCUUGUCAAAGUGCUGACCAGAAAAGCAUAUAAACGCGUGUCUAUAGUCAUCCGUACCGCAAACCGACACAGGUGCUCAGGUCGAGAAGACCAAGGUGAGCGAGUGAAUCUUCGUUAAGGAACUCGGCAAAAAAGCGACCGUAACCUCGGGAUAAGGUCUGCCCCGUCACAAUGUUUAUGACAUGUGACUACGCCAGUUUUCUUUUAGAAAACAUCGGUAGAGAUUUUAGUUUUAAGCAUUCUAAAAUUGAAGCCGAAUCGAGAAAUAUUGAGAAAGAAAGCUGACUCUGUUAGCAAUUCAUGACACUGCACUUAUUACCCGAAAGGGAAAAAGAGCAGCCGGCACGUCGGAUUCAUUCCGUACGUUCCGCGCGUCAAGAAAAAACCGUAGGUUUUGUCUUGAGAAACGCAGUCGUAGAUAUUGUGACGGGGCCGCAGCGAAAGAACCCAAGCAACUGUUUACCAAAAACAUAGGUCUCUGCAAACACGAAAGUGGAAGUAUAGGGGCUGACGCCUGCCCGGUGCUGGAAGGUUAAGGGGAUGACUUCACGGUCUGAACUGAAGCCCCAGUGAACGGCGGCCGUAACUAUAACGGUCCUAAGGUAGCGAAAUUCCUUGUCAGGUAAGUUCUGACCCGCACGAAUGGCAUAACGAUCUGAGCACUGUCUCAAGCAUAGACCCGGUGAAAUUGCAAUGUCGGUAAAAAUGCCGACUACUUACAGGAAGACGGAAAGACCCUAUGGAGCUUUACUAUAAUUUGGCACUGAGUAAUUCAUGUGCGUGUGCAGGAUAGGUGGGAGGCUUUGAUGGUACGGCGCCAGCUGUACUGGAGCCAUCCUUGAGAUACCACCCUUGUACAUGGGUUACUCUAACUCACGUUUGGUGAGGACAGUGCUUGAUGGGUAGUUUAACUGGGGCGGUUGCCUCCUAAAGAGUAACGGAGGCGUUCAAAGGUAAGCUUAGUCCGGAUGGAAAUCGUGCCGAUAGUGCAUACGCAUAAGUCAGCUUGACUGUGAGGCCAACAAGCCAAUCAGGGACGAAAGUCGGAGUAAGUGACCCGCUGUACUAAUCUUCGGAUUUAAGUAUGUGGGAACGACAGCGCAAACGGAUAAAAGUUACCCUAGGGAUAACAGGCUUAUCGGGCCCAAUAGUUCACAUAGACGGGCCGGUUUGGCACCUCGAUGUCGGCUCAUCACAUCCUGGAGGGGGAGCACCUUCCAAGGGUAUGGCUGUUCGCCAUUUAAAGUGGUACGUGAGCUGGGUUCAGAACGUCGUGAGACAGUUCGGUUUAUAUCCGCUGUGGACGUCAGGAAAAUUGAGAGGAUUUGCCCCUAGUACGAGAGGACCGGGGUGAACGCACCGCUGGUGUAUGGGUUGUUGUACCAACAGCAUUGCCCAGUAGCUAUGUGCGGGAUAGAUAAGCGCUGAAAGCAUAUUAAGCGCGAAACUAGCCUCAAGAUAAGUUUUCCCUAUGAUCCCCCUGAAAGACGAUCAGGUUGAUAGGCGCAAGGUAGAAGCAUGGUGACAUGUGUAGCUAAAGCGUACUAAUCGGGACAUUGGUUUUUUAUG